GGAAACACACAAUGUCCUGUCGCCUGAUAUCUUGCUUAAAUUAACACUGAGUUCAAUUCAGCAAAUAGAAAGAAGGCAGAGGCACGCAAAACGGGUGGAGGGCCACCACCAGCACCUCUGACCUCUGCAGAAGAGCUGGCUCUGAGCCACAACAUUGGCCGUCCAGUGGCUGAAGGCAUCCCUGGAGGAAGCUCAUCAGAGCCAAUCACCCCACAGGACACAAGUGCCUACAUAAGAUGUAAGUAUGUGCGAGUAUGUGUGUGAAUGUGUUUUCAUUUUCCACUCUGGUCCACUUCUAGUCACUGAUGGUGUAAUCCGAGUGGUUGAGCCUCCUGCAAGCCUUUGCACAACUGUACCACUUGAUGAUGAUGAUGAUGAUGAUGAUGAGGACACAUUGACUGCUGCCACAGACAGGGUUGCAGAGAGGCCUACAUAUAUGAGCAUGGAUGAGCCUUGCCAGGAGAGGGGUCCAUCAACCUCCAAAGCACAGCUACAGACAGUGAGAUGUUCAGUAAAUGGCAGGUGAAUUCUGUGUGUAGAACUGGGAUUUAAUGUCAUCCUAAUGUAUUCCCAGUUACCAGUUAAGGACUUGUACAAACUCCAUUUGUUAAAACAAAUGGAGAAAACUGACCAAGAGAUGGUGUAUUUGGGGCGGAAGAUAAAGAAGACGGAUCUAGAAAUUGAAUUGCUAGAACACCAGCUGCAGGUGGGUGCAUGGUCACAGGUGAGUGAGUGUUAAUUGUCAGAACAAUAUAUUAAUAUUAAUUGUUGCAUUUCUAUUUGUAGGCAAUAAAGAAGACAAAAUGAAAUGGUA